UAUAAUUAUAUCAUUUCCAGUCAUCAGACAAGGGUUUAUAAUACAAUCUUUUGCUGGACGAGAUCAUAAGUACUGAGAGAGCUUUCUGUCAUAAAUUGGCAGCUAAGAUGAAGCACUUCUUUAUGAUUGUUGCAGCCACUGCUCUGUUGGGCAUGCAUAGUCUCGUCGCCCAGCUAUGUUGGGCAUAGCUAGUGCUGCUGCUAUACUUGUCAGGAGACUCCACCAACAUGGUCUGGCCACCUGUUUGGGGUCACUAUAUAUAUGAUGCAGCCUACCUCAAGUUAGUACGUGAUCAAGGUCCCAACUUCAGGACUGCCUUCAGACACACUAAAGUUACUACACCAUGAUCUGGAUCCGACUGACCAUUGUUGUUGCAGAGGUUCGUUACGUGGGGCUUUAAUAGCUCUUAAAGAAUGAAUGAAGCUUGAGUUGGAUAAAUCUAUUGGUAUACUGUCAGUGACUCAUGGCUCAACUCAUCAUCACUGUGUUGUGGAAGGAAAGAGAUUACUGUAUGAUACUGGGAUGGAACUAACUGGUAGAAAAGUACAUGUAUAAUCAUCUUAUGUAUACACAUACAACUGUAUGUGUGUGUGUGUGUGUGUUUUAUUGCACUGAAAUUGGGAGUGAUUUCAGGGAGCUUAUUCUUAUAGACAAAACAUGCUUAACAAACUGCUUAGCUAUGCAUUUUUGUACUGCAUCACAAUGUGUGUUACCAAUCAAAGUAUCAAAUUUAUAUCACUA